rnacentral:lncRNA from 10 species
AUUGGAAUGAGUUGUCUGUGGAUCCUGUAAGGAGCCUGGACAUGGUGAAGAGAAUGCCUUGACCAUCAGGAGACAGCUUAGCUUGUUGAAUCUUGAUCACUUCUUCUGACCGCUUUGGAUCUUAAAAGAACAAGGGAUGAUGGUGACUUAUGGUGACAACCAAGAACAGGCUUCAGAAAGAAAGCAGCUGUGUAGCUAUGGCCA